rnacentral:rRNA from 1 species
GUGUCAGCCGCCGCGGUAAUACGUAGGGUGCAAGCGUUAAUCGGAAUUACUGGGCGUAAAGCGUGCGCAGGCGGUUAUGUAAGACAGAGGUGAAAUCCCCGGGCUCAACCUGGGAACUACCUUUGUGACUGCAUAGCUGGAGUACGGUAGAGGGGGAUGGAAUUCCGCGUGUAGCAGUGAAAUGCGUAGAUAUGCGGAGGAACACCGAUGGCGAAGGCAAUCCCCUGGACCUGUACUGACGCUCAUGCACGAAAGCGUGGGGAGCAAACAGGAUUAGAUACCCCGGUAGUCC